ensembl:misc_RNA Metazoa_SRP Metazoan signal recognition particle RNA
GCCAGGCAUGGUGAUACACCUGAGGUCCCAGCUACUCUGGAAACUGAGGUCGGAGGAUCACUUCAGUCCAGGAGUUCUGGGAUGCUGUGUGCUAUGCCAAGCAGGUGUCUGAGUGAAGUUUGGCAUCAAUAUGGUGAUUUCCUGAGAGUGGGGAACCACCAGGUUGCCUAAGGAGGGGUGAACCAGCUCAGGUCAGAAACAGAGCAGAUCAAAACUCCCAUGCUGAUCAAUGCUAUCUUUUUUUUAUUAAGUUUAUUGGUACAUUUUAGGUAUACAAUACAGUUACAUUCAUCAU